rfam:Hordeum vulgare subsp. vulgare, WGS project CAJW01000000 data, contig: morex_contig_135504
CCCUUGGAUGACGACGAAGCGAUCUCCUACAUCCUCGUAGGGUUGGAUAUGUAGUACCAGCCCCUGGUGUCGGCCUUCGACGCCCGCACCGAACCAGUCACCCUCGACGAUCUCUUUGCUCACAUCAGCACUUCUGAU